UUUGCUCCUUACUGUCCUUCAUAUAUUUUGCACAUUUAAUCUUUACAUUGAGGACAAUGUUUCAUUUAGGUUGGGGGAAAGGAAUCAAAAUGUUAAAAAAAAAAAAAAAAUUUCUUGCCAACCGAUGACGAUAUUAUUUGAAAUUGUUUUUAUAUUAUUGUGAUUAGGGGAUGCUGCUUUGAUUUAGUUUAAGCUUGUUCAUGUUAGAUUGAUCUACAUUGAGCACAAUAAUCAUGAAAAUCACAUAUUAUUUAGAUUGGAUCAAUGGAUAGAAUAUGCAGAAUUAACUAUGACAAAAAAAAAAAUUCUAACUAAACCAAUUCUAGGAUAGUUUGGGGGUGGUUGAGCUGUUGUGGGAAGACAUUGAGAUAGAUGUGGAUUUCAUGUAUG
rnacentral:lncRNA from 1 species